GGGGGACGUCGCUCUUCCGCAGAGAAACUACCUUGCGGUUUUGCUCAACAACAGAUCCCAAAGAGAAUUAAACUAAUCCUGAAUUACUAGUCGCCGUUAAAAUGUUGACGGGAAGUGCAUUGAAAUCAGUACUUGAAAAGCUCCAGCACCCUGCCUUUCUAGGAAGCAAACUGCAGCCCACUGGAACAUGAGGGAUAGAACCUCAGCUUACCUGAUUGGAAAUGAAGCAAUCUUCAUUGAGAUUCUAGCGUGGUUCCAGAGGUGCCCUGGAUGGGAUUCCAGUCAGGUAAGAUAAAAUCAGGAGCCACUAGGGUUGCACAAGGACUUAGGACAUGUCUUUCCACUGUCUGUCACUGGGGUUUCUGGUGAGAAUCAGAACAACUGCAGGGAGGU